rnacentral:rRNA from 1 species
GAUAAGUUGGGUAGUCAAAAGGGAAAGAGCCCAGACCUACAGCUAAGGUCCCAAAAUGUGUGUUAAGUGGAAAAGGAUGUGGGAUUUCGAAGACAACUAGGAUGUUGGCUUAGAAGCAGCCAUCCAUUAAAAGAGUGCGUAAUAGCUCACUAGUCGAGAGGUCCUGCGCCGAAAAUGUCCGGGGCUGAAACACACUACCGAAGCUUGGGAAUUGACGAAUGUUAAUUGGUAGAGGAGCAUUCUUAACGGGGCGAAGCUGUACCGGAAGGAGCAGUGGACUGUUAAGAAGAGAGAAUGCCGGAAUGAGUAGCGAGAGGAAGGUGAGAAUCCUUCCGGCCGAAUAUCUAAGGUUUCCAGAGUAAAGCUGAUCUGCUCUGGGUAAGUCGGGGCCUAAGGCGAGGUCGAAAGACGUAGUCGAUGGAUAACAGGUAAAGAUUCCUGUACUGUAUCAUAACAGAACUGUGGGGACGCAGACAGAGAGCAUAAGCCGGGAAUGGAAAGACCGGUACAAGCGAGGUAGGAGUGCAUCAGGCAAAUCCGGUGCACAAUCUGAAGACGUGAUGUGGGGCGUAAAGCCGGAAGUAUGUGAGCUGGCUGCCAAGAAAAGCCGCUAUUGUUUAUGAUAUACCCGUACCGUAAACCGACACAGGUGGAUGAGGAGAGAAUCCUAAGGCCGACGGGAGAAGCAUUGUUAAGGAACUCGGCAAAAUGACUCCGUAACUUCGGGAGAAGGAGUGCCAUGUAAAAGUGGCCGCAGAGAAUUGGCCCAAGCAACUGUUUAGCAAAAACACAGGUCUAUGCAAAACCGAAAGGUGAGGUAUAUGGGCUGACGCCUGCCCGGUGCUGGAAGGUUAAGGGGAGAGGUUAGCCGUAAGGCGAAGCUUUGAACUUAAGCCCCAGUAAACGGCGGCCGUAACUAUAACGGUCCUAAGGUAGCGAAAUUCCUUGUCGGGUAAGUUCCGACCCGCACGAAAGGCGUAAUGAUUUGGGCACUGUCUCAACAAUGCACCCGGUGAAAUUGAAAUACCAGUGAAGAUGCUGGUUACCUGCGCCAGGACGGAAAGACCCCAUGGAGCUUUACUCCAGCUUGAUACUGGGAUUCGAUAUUGCAUGUACAGGAUAGGUGGGAGACUGAGAACUGAUGACGCCAGUUGUCAGGGAGUCACUGUUGGGAUACCACCCUUGUAGUAUUGGAUUUCUAACCAGCAGCCGUGAACCGGCUGGGGGACAAUGUCAGGUGGGGAGUUUGACUGGGGCGGUCGCCUCCGAAAGGGUAUCGGAGGCGCUCAAAGGUUCCCUCAGAAUGGUUGGAAACCAUUCGAAGAGUGCAAAGGCAGAAGGGAGCUUGACUGCGACACCGACGGGUGGAGCAGGUACGAAAGUAGGACUUAGUGAUCCGGUGGUAUAAAGUGGGAUUGCCAUCGCUCAACGGAUAAAAGCUACCCUGGGGAUAACAGGCUUAUCACUCCCAAGAGUUCACAUCGACGGAGUGGUUUGGCACCUCGAUGUCGGCUCAUCGCAUCCUGGGGCUG